rnacentral:rRNA from 1 species
GAAGAAGUUGACGGGGCCGCACAAGCGGUGGAGCAUGUGGUUAAUUCGACGCAACGCGAAGAACCUUACCAGGGCUUGACAUCCCCUGACCGCGUAUGAAAGUACGUUUUCACCCUCGGGUGACAGGGAGACAGGUGGUGCAUGGUUGUCGUCAGCUCGUGUCGUGAGAUGUUGGGUUAAGUCCCGCAACGAGCGCAACCCCUACGUUUAGUUGCUAACGCGUGAAGGCGAGCACUCUAGACGAACUGCCGUUGACAAAACGGAGGAGGGUGGGAUGACGUCAAAUCAUCAUGCCCCUUAUGUUCUGGGCUACACACGUGCUACAAUGGCCGGUACAGACGGACGCAAAGCCGCGAGGUGGAGCAAAUCCUAAAAAGCCGGUCUCAGUUCGGAUUGCAGGCUGCAAUUCGCCUGCAUGAAGUCGGAAUCGCUAGUAAUCGCAGGUCAGCAUACUGCGGUGAAUACGUUCCCGGGCCUU